rnacentral:rRNA from 1 species
GGCUACUGCUAUUGGGAUUCGACUAAGCCAUGCGAGUCAAGGUGUCUUCGGACGCCGGCGUACGGCUCAGUAACACGUAGGUAACCUACCCUCAGGACUGAGAUAACCCCGGGAAACUGGGGCUAAUAUUAGAUAGAUAAAAGAUACUGGAAUGUUCUUUUAUCCAAAGCUUUUGCGCCUGAGGAUGGGCCUGCGUCCGAUUAGGUUGUUGGUGGGGUAAUGGCCCACCAAGCCUACGAUCGGUACGGGCAGUGAGAGCUGAAGCCCGGAGUUGGGGACUGAGACAAGGCCCCAGGCCCUACGGGGCGCAGCAGGCGCGAAACCUCUGCAAUGCGGGAAACCGUGACAGGGGGAUCCCAAGUGCUCAUGCAUUGCAUGGGCUGUUCUUUGGUCUAAGUAACCAGAGGAGUAAGGGCUGGGCAAGACCGGUGCCAGCCGCCGCGGUAAUACCGGCAGCUCAAGUGGUAGCCGCGAUUAUUGGGCCUAAAGCGUUCGUAGCCGGAUAAGUAAGUCUUUGGUUAAAUCCUGCGACUUAACCGUGGGAAAUCUAGAGAUACUGCUUGUCUUGAGACCGGGAGAGGUUGGAGGUACUCCCAGGGUAGGGGUGAAAUCCUGUAAUCCUGGGGGGACCACCUGUGGCGAAGGCGUCCAACUGGAACGGGUCUGACGGUGAGGGACGAAACCUAGGGGAGCGAGCCGGAUUAGAUACCCGGGUAGUCCUAGGCGUAAAUGAUGCGAGUUAAGUGUGGGGGCAUCCACGAGAUGGCCCUGUGCUGUAGGGUAGCCGUUAAACUCGCCGCCUGGGGAGUACGGCCGCAAGGCUGAAACUUAA